CAGUAAGUAAGUUUUUUCAAGAUGUAAAGCCAGGCUCCAAAAGAUUUUGGCUUACCAGAGUCCCCUCAGUGAGCGGUCAUGACAAGCCAAGCCUCUUCCCUCUGGUCACAUAUUCUUUCACAAUACCAUAAAACCACGACAAAGGAUGCUGGUCUCCACUGCAGUCUACAUGGCAGCAUACCUUACAAUAUUUAGGAUACAAGAGAAAGAGGGAGUCAGUUAAUUGCUAAUUUCUUAUAUUCGAAGUUUUUUUAAAAAAUGUGUGUACCAGCUACUUUUUCCACUAUGUUCAGUAGAGAAGUUCUGUUUCCUACAUUCAUUUUCUUCCUGACAUUACUACAAAAAUAUUCAUUGAGAAUUUGGUGGUGAAAGGAUGUAACCUACUAUGAAACACCUAAGCAGCAAAAAUGUGGCUUCAAGUUACCUUGAUUGGGAUGAGUAUAAGGAAGAUAUUAGGAAUAUUUAAUCCAACCAUUAAUGGGAUUGCACAUAAACAACCCUCUCUCCUAUAAUUUAAAAACUUCAUAUUCUUUAUUAUGCUCUCAUUUAAUUGUGGCAAAAUCAUUACUAAUUUAGAUACUGCCCAAAAUAUUUUUUCCAUUAGAAAUUGUGUUGUUUCAAGACUUCUGCCAAAAUGGCCAAAUAGGAAAAGCUCCAGUCUGCAGUUCCCAGUGAGAGUGAUCCAGAAGGUGAUUGAUCUCCACAUUUCCAACCAAGCAAAGUGUUUUCCAGAUUCAUCCAUGUCCCUACAAACGACACGAACUCAUCAUCCUCAGCAAACUGACACAAGAACAGAAAAUGAAACACCGCAUAUUCUCACUCAUAGGUGGGUGAUGAAAAAUGAGAACACAUGGACACAGAAAGGGGAGUACUAAACACUGGGGUCUAUUGGGGGGAAAAGGGGAGGGCCAGUGGGAGGGGGAGGUGGGGAGGGAUAGCCUGGGGAGAAAUGCCAAAUGUGGGUGAAGGGGAGAAGAAAAGCAAAGCACACUGCCAUGUGUGUACCUACGCAACUGUCUUGCAUGCUCUGCUCAUGUACCCCAAAACCUAUAAUCCAACAAAAAAAAAAAAAAAAAAAAAAAGAAAGCAAAGUGACCCAUAUUAUGUAGCUCAUUUAGUAGUUGCUCAAUAGAUGUUCAUAGACUGAGCAGAAAG
rnacentral:lncRNA from 1 species